ACCGACAUUCUGUACAACUCUCCAGGCCCCACUGCCACUGUGACAGAGGUAAAACCUGAGUUGGUGGUAAAGGAGAUGAGGAGAGAGGGUCACCAAGGCCAGAGGUAUGUGGGGCCAGGAGACAGCAAAGAGGAGACAGCAAAGACUUGGCCUUCCAAUGAGGGUGCUACCAGGGAUUCAAUCCCUGGUUGGGGAGCUGAGGUCCCUCAUGCCUGAAGGCCAAACACCCAAAACAUAAAACAGAAGCAAUAUGGUAACCAAUUCAACGAGUGAGUGCU